rnacentral:misc_RNA from 1 species
UUUCCGUAGGUGACCCUGCGGAAGGAUCAUUAAUGUAACCGAACAUGUCCUUUGCUGUACAACGCGGUGGAUCGGAAAGGGGGAUAUCAUACACCCUGUGUUUAUUUACCUUUGUUGCUUUGGCGGGCCGUCCUUUUAGGCGUCGGCCCCGGCUGCUUGCGCGCGCCAGAGGAUCCAAACUCUUUUAUCAGUGAUGUCUGAGUCCUAUAUAAUAGUUAAAACUUUCAACAACGGAUCUCUUGGUUCUG